rnacentral:rRNA from 1 species
UUUUAUGGAGAGUUUGAUCCUGGCUCAGGAUGAACGCUGGCGGCGUGCCUAAUACAUGCAAGUCGAGCGAACAGACGAGGAGCUUGCUCCUCUGACGUUAGCGGCGGACGGGUGAGUAACACGUGGAUAACCUACCUAUAAGACUGG